AUGGGACAUACAGUGUUACCCAUUUUGAUGGCCGUAUUGUCCCAUUGCAUGUGGGGAAAUGUCGAGGCCCAUCUAAUCUGGUGGGGAAUCAGGGAGAGCUGGGAUUGGCUGAGGUGCUGCGGAGCCUCCUCUCCACGCUGGAGGUCAGGCCAUCUGGCUCCAAAUGGGCUCCUAUUGAUCGGAGGGCGGAGGGAGCAUGGCGAUCCAGUUGCAGGCGUACAUCAUCGAUUUUCUGUUGGAGUGGAGAGAGCAGGGGGUGUGGGCUGGAGCACAGCAGAGCUGUCAGGUCAUCUUCUCAAAUAUCCAGAAGUAUUUUUUGUGACGUUGACCUUCCCCGAGUCAAAGAGACAUCUAUUUAACCACUACCUCAGCAGGUGUGUAGCUUAAGCAAGCUCUUUAAUUCACACACACACACUUUCCUUAACACGCAUCAAUAACAUGCUCCCAGAAAGCUGCCAGUUCAGCAGGACUCAACAUCUCAAGCACCA
rnacentral:lncRNA from 1 species